CUACGGGUUGCAGCAGUGGGGAAUAUUGGACAAUGGGGGAAACCCUGAUCCAGCAAUGCCGCGUGUGUGAAGAAGGCCUGCGGGUUGUAAAGCACUUUCGGUUGGGAGGACUGCUUCUAGCACUAAUAUUGUUGGAAGUUGACGUUACCUUCAGAAGAAGCACCGGCUAACUCCGUGCCAGCAGCCGCGGUAAUACGGAGGGUGCAAGCGUUAAUCGGAAUUACUGGGCGUAAAGCGCGCGUAGGCGGCUAGAUCAGUCGGGCGUGAAAGCCCCGGGCUUAACCUGGGAACUGCAUCCGAUACUGUAUAGCUUGAGUACAGGAGAGGAGAGUGGAAUUCCACAUGUAGCGGUGAAAUGCGUAGAUAUGUGGAGGAACACCAAUGGCGAAGGCAGCUCUCUGGCCCGAUACUGACGCUGAGGUGCGAAAGCGUGGGGAGCAAAGAGGAUUAGAUACCCUCGUAGUC
rnacentral:rRNA from 1 species